UACGAAGGGUGCAAGCGUUACUCGGAAUUACUGGGCGUAAAGCGCACGUAGGUGGCGACGUAAGUCGGGUGUGAAAGCCCCGGGCUCAACCUGGGAAUUGCAUUCGAGACUGCAUUGCUGGAGUACGGAAGAGGAGGGCGGAAUUCCCGGUGGUAGCGGUGAAAUGCGUAGAUAUCGGGGGGAAUACCAGAGGCGCAAGCGGCGCCCCUGGCCUUGGCCUGACGCUCAGGUGCGAAAGCGUGGGGAGCGAACGGG
rnacentral:rRNA from 1 species